rnacentral:rRNA from 1 species
ACGGGUGAGUAAUGCAUGGGAACGUGCCUCUAAGAGGGGGAUAACUACGGGAAACUGUAGCUAAUACCGCAUAAUAUCGAGAGAUUAAAGGUGGCCUCUACUUGUAAGCUACUACUUAGAGAUCGGCCCAUGUCCCAUUAGCUAGUUGGCGGGGUAACGGCCCACCAAGGCUACGAUGGGUAGCUGGUCUGAGAGGAUGAUCAGCCACACUGGAACUGAGACACGGUCCAGACUCCUACGGGAGGCAGCAGUGGGGAAUUUUGCACAAUGGAGGAAACUCUGAUGCAGCAACGCCGCGUGAGUGAAGAAGGCCUUUGGGUUGUAAAGCUCUUUCGGUUGGGAAGAAGGGUAGUAUGGCUAAUAUCCAUGUUAUUUGACGGUACCAAAAUAAGAAGCACCUGCUAACUUCGUGCCAGCAGCAGCGGUAAUACGAAGGGUGCAAGCGUUGUUCGGAAUUACUGGGCGUAAAGGGCGCGUAGGCUGGUUUGUAAGUCUAAUGUGAAAUCCCCGGGCUUAACCCGGGACGUGCAUUGGAAACUGCAGAUCUUGAAUGCUUAAGAGGGUGGUGGAAUUCCAGGAGUAGAA